CAAUUUAUUGAGUAUAGAGUUACAUGUUGCAGAUGCCCACAUGGAAUCUUGCACAGCAGCCAAAGAGUUGUGGAGCAGUCUGAGGGCAAGGAAGGUCAGAAUUCAUACAGAUUCACAACAGCAAUUAUAGGAUGACAAACUCCACCCCUAAAACAAAUAUGACUGGUAAUCAUCAUCAACAAGUCUACUGACAGAAUUCCCAUCACAUAUGUCUACGGUCAAAGUGACAAGCUGCUUGAUGAAAUGGCCCAGAUCAGGGUGUUGAGCUCAAAGAUGAAAUCUGAAACCAGUAUAACUGGCUUGGCAGUCACAGAAGCAUUCUAUUUAUUGGGAAAAAGCCAACAAGAAAGGGGAACAACUUGUAGCAAUUAGAAGAUUCCGGUGGCAACACCAGCUGGUAGAAGACAACAGUGGCCAUCCUGAUCUCAUCCACAGGGCAUAUUUGAUUGUUCUUUACAAUACUGGAUGGUCUCCAAGAACACAAGUUUAGAGUCAUACUGAAAUAAUCAGAAAUUGUCCUAGUGUAAUAAUAAUAAUAAUACCUCAUAUAUUUACUUUGAGAUAUACCGAUUAAAAGAAAGUAAUGAAUAAUCACACUGAAGUCAAUAGAAUUAUCGUGGUGUGAAGCCAACAUAAAUUAAAGGAAAAUCAGAACCACUGAGUAUGUGAAACGUUGUUUUCAGAUUCCUUUACAUUCUCUAACCUCACUGAUGUGCACUGUUUUGUUUGCAGUUUUACAAAAGUGAGUCCAAAUUCUGUUCACAGUUGCAUCAGUGAAAAUCCAGAGCAGUUCCGCUGACAUGUGUGGAGUUAAUACAGAUUUAUGUCAAUGUAACUGAGAGAAGGAUCUAGCCCAAAGUGUUUGAUGAUUAACUGCAUUAUUAGUCAGUCACACAUCUUUUUUGUUUCUCUGAAACACAGAAUGAGGAAGGUUGCAAGAAUAUAGGUCAUGCACAGAGUUUGAAGAGACAUUUUUUUUAGCCACAUAUGAAAGACUUUAUUAAAAGUUUAAUGCAGAUGCAGUUUAAGGCAAAGAUGACAAAUUACACCAUUUGAAAAUGAUUAUUGAUUUAUUAGGAUUUAUACCAAGUCUUAUGUAAUGGUGGAAACUAGUUGUACCAUCUUAUAAUGUAACCAGAGUGUUUUCUUCUUUCCAUUUGGGAAAUGGACAAAAUAUAUGUAUUGCUGUAACACAGUAGAAAACAAGAUUUUCUUAAUGUAAGAAAGACUUUGUAAAGUUUAGUGCAAAGGGUACCUGUGACCUUACACUCCAUAUUCUUCAUGGAAAUAUGCGUAUGAUAUGGAUAUGGCAUAAUUGAGAUAUACUUUAUGCAAGACAGCUCAUGUAAGAUAUCAUUAGAAACAUUGUCAUUUACUGAAUGUGAUAAUCCAAUUUGUAUGCCUGUAUCAUUUCUGUAUCUGAAGUUAGGAAUAUUGACCAUGUAUCUGUAUUUCAAAUGUGCUACUUUGGGUGACACCCACAACUAGCCUUUCAGGUACAACAAUGAAAAGCCAGACAGGGCUGAUGGCCCAUUAGCAAAGACAAUGGACUGUGAAAGAGUUUAGUCUUCCUGUGGACGCUCCAAACAGCCUGAGAGUAAUGGCUGCUACAACCCUGCAGAGACAUGGGUUUGAGUCACCUGGUACUGGACCUGCCCUCCCCUCCACCCCUUGGAAUGCCAGUAUUUUUCCACUGGAAGACAAAGGGUUCCCACCAUACACAAAAGCUAUAUAAGGCAGGGGAGUAACAUCAUCGUGGUCCUCCUCAGCCUCCCCACCAAAAGAGACACUGGAAAAUACCUGAAAAGAAGAACUCAGCUGAGGGGAGAAGAGUUGAGCCCAGGCUGAAAGGUUGUCUAGCCUGUGAGUAAUAAUACCUGAAGUUUCAAGCUGCAGGCCAAUGCAGCUGGCUUUCAAGAAUCUCUGUAAUCUGCCUGAAACAACUUUUAGGGUGAGAAAUUACGAUUUGUAGCCAAUUUCUUUA